GAUGAACGCUGGCGGCGUGCCUAAUACAUGCAAGUCGAGCGAACAGACGAGGAGCUUGCUCCUCUGACGUUAGCGGCGGACGGGUGAGUAACACGUGGAUAACCUACCUAUAAGACUGGGAUAACUUCGGGAAACCGGAGCUAAUACCGGAUAAUAUAUUGAACCGCAUGGUUCAAUAGUGAAAGACGGUUUUGCUGUCACUUAUAGAUGGAUCCGCGCCGCAUUAGCUAGUUGGUAAGGUAACGGCUUACCAAGGCAACGAUGCGUAGCCGACCUGAGAGGGUGAUGCGCCACACUGGAACUGAGACACGGUCCAGACUCCUACGGGAGGCAGCAGUAGGGAAUCUUCCGCAAUGGGCGAAAGCCUGACGGAGCAACGCCGCGUGAGUGAUGAAGGUCUUCGGAUCGUAAAACUCUGUUAUUAGGGAAGAACAAAUGUGUAAGUAACUAUGCACGUCUUGACGGUACCUAAUCAGAAAGCCACGGCUAACUACGUG
rnacentral:rRNA from 1 species